UAAAAUACAGAUAUCAAGCUCUAGACUCGACCUACGAAGCUAAGGCCAGCCAGAAUAUAUAAUUAUAUAUAUUUAUACAACCCAUAAUAUAACUCAUACUACAGAAUAAACACCUGUUUCUCCAAGUUAACCUCUAGGAGGGACAAAAAAUAUAUACGGAGGAGAAUUUAUAUACAUAUAUACAUAGCAUCAAUACAAAAUACAGCAACCCAAAAUAAUCAAACUUCGCUUGCACAGGAAAUUCUAGACGCUCAAUGAGGUAUCUCUCGACCUGCAUCUGGAAAACAAUAGAAAUAUGUAUGGAAUGAGAACCGGAGGUUCUUAGCAUGGUAAAUAUGCCCGUAUAGUUAAUAUAAAAGGUCUAGGAAAUUCUAGAGGCAUUCCUAGAACUCCGACACUUAGAUUUUAGCUUAAAGAUUCAACUAAACCAGAAAUUAAGUAAGUUAUUUAAGGUAUUUCAAGUUCUGAAUCUAAAUUUAACCUAACACUCCACUUUCUGUCUCCUUUAAUCCUCCGAAUCACCGGUGGAACAACUCCCUCACACCUCCGCCAAGAGGAGUCUCUCAAAAAAAAUACAUAUGCAAUUCAAGCAAGAAAAACACAGAUAGAUGUGCAAUUACAGCAAGUAAAACAAGUAACAGAUAAGCAAAGUUAAGCAGUUAAGCAAACCAAAACAAUGCACACUCAAACAAAACAAACAAAUGCAUAUGAUGUAUGCCUGUCCUAUGGCUAAUGAGUCUCUUCUGUCAGUUAUAUAGCCAAUCCGACAUGUCCUGUAGCUAACCCGGACAUCGUCCUCUUGAAAAUUGGUGAGCAGUACAGUACCACGAUCCUCACCUAGUGAGCGGUAAACCACCUCGAUCCCCACAGAAGUUUUCAAUUGGAAAACAGCACGCAUGUGGGCAGUAAAUACAUUCACAACCCGUGGGCAGUAAAUAACCACGAUCCCCACAAAUACAUUCACAACCCGUGGGCAGUAAAUAACCACGAUCCCCACAAAACAAAUUUCUUUAAAAUCUCGUGGGCGGUAAAUAAACACAUUCCCCACAAAAUAUUUUCAUAUCAAAUUCAUCCUCAUCAUCAUUCAAUUCAUUCAACAAUUAUCAUCAUCACACUUCUCAUUCCGUUCAUCAAUAAUUCACACUCAAAACAUAAUUCUCUUAACUAAAUAAAACUCAAAACAUAAUACUUUUCUUAAUAAAUCAAGUUCCAAAACAUAAAGCAUUUCUUUUUUUAUAAAUCGAAGUCAAAUAAUAUAAUUCUUUUAUCCAUACUUGUCUAAAUAAUAUUUCAAACUAAAUCUCCAAUUUUUAUAAAAAUUUCGACAACAUUUCCUCUAAAAUUCAGACUUCUGCCACCCUUCAAGGGUCCGAACCACCAAAUCAAACACCUCUCAGUCAUUCAAAUCAUUCUCAGUAUCAAAUUAUUUCAAAAUCAAACUAAUUUCAAUAUUAAAUCUUUUUCCAAAGCCAACCAACUCCAAUAUCAAAUCGUUUACAAAAUCAAACCGCACAUUUCUCAAUCAAUCCAUUCAAUUGAAUUUCACAAAUCUACCAUCAACCCUCAACAUAUCAACAAUCAUCAUUAAUUUAUACUCAUCAGAAUCAUAAUCCAACUUAUACAAAUUUAUUCAUCCUUUAUACGCACAUCAUAUACUAUAUACACAAUCCAUCAAUAAUUCAUUCAGUUUAUUUUUAUCUUAAGGGCUUCUAGCCUAAGUUUUCAUAUGAUAUUAAACAUUACCUACGAGAAACCAAAACUAUACCGUGGCCGAUUCCUCUCUAAGCUCAGAACUCCUUAAAAAUCUCUCCUUUCACAAGCUCCAAGCUUCCAAACGUCAAUUUCUCAAAUUUGAUCACCCAGAUUUUAUUCCAAACCGCCCAAUUGAACUUCAAAUCAAGAAGAACACAAUCUAAUUCACACAAUAUCACUAUAAUCAUCAUAGGAUCCACUAAUUCAAUGAUUCGCAAGGGUUCAACAGUUUCUUAGCUUACCCACGGAUCAAUUUGACAAAACCUAGUAAUUAUCCACUGCUAGAGUUCACCUAAACCAUCAAAAUAAUUCAAUUCUUCAAUACCCAAACUCAACCUACGAAAUUGAGGAGGAGAAGAACUGGGUGAGAAAUGUAAAUUUCUUACCACUUUGUUCAGAUAGAAUUGAAGAGAAUUUCGAGAUGAACACGUAGUCGAUGACGGCUCGUCAAUCGGAGUUCCGAAUUAAAAGUUACGUGGAAUUGAAUCUUUGGAGCAAGGGUUUCAUUUAUUUCCAGCACGUUUCAUGUAUGAAGAACGGGAAGAAGAGAUGAAGCUUAAUAAGGGAGGUUGAAAUAGGUUGGGCCUUAGGCCCGGUCUAAUCGGUUUGACCUGUUGAUUUGGUUUUGGGUUAAAAUUUUUAAAAUUAGUGUUGCGUAUUGUAAUUAUUUCUACCAUUCUAAACUAUUAAAUUUAUUUUUUUUAUUUCUUUAAAUGAUAAUUAAUUUAUUGGCUAAUUAUUUAUUAAUUUCGUGGGUUUUACACCUGCAGCCUGCUAUACGCUUUUUUUAAAGUAUUAAGCAUGGCCUGUUAUUCAGCCUGGCCUAGCCUGAAGCCUGUUAAAAGGCCUGCUAAUUUUUUUUUACAAAAAUAAAAAUAUUAUUUAAAAAAAAUUUAANNNNNNNNNNNNNNNNNNNNNNNNNNNNNNNNNNNNNNNNNNNNUAUAUUAAAAGGCCCAAACAGGUCUGACAGGCCAAUAAAGCUAAUUAAUGAAUUUAAAUUUGGCCUAUUAACAUAUUAAAGCUUUUACAAGAGUCUUAGCAUGUGCAUAUUUUAUAACAAGUCAAAUUAGACUAAGCUAAACACAUGCCAGACCACAGAUCCUGACAAACCACUUGACCUAUUUUCACUCCUAUUUAUAAGUCAAGAAUACAAUAUAAUUAGAGUAAAUAGCCAAAAUCGUCCCUGAAAGAUACCCCGAUCUCCAUUUUGGUUCUCGAAAGAUAAAGUUAAUCGAAAUCUUCCCUGAAAGAUACACGAUUGAUCACGUUAGUCCUUCCGUCAGUUGGAUGAUAGCGUGUCACGUUAAGUGCCACGUCGCAUAUGAUGACGUGGGGGCUAAUGCCACGUGUCACAAGAUGAUUGGUUGAUGUGUCAGUUUAGUGACACCAGACAUGCCACGUGUCGGGUCAGUGACACGUGGCAUGUGUCAGAUCAGUGACAUGUGGCACUUGACAUGUAAAAAAGUUAUUUAUAAUCAAAAUAGUCCUUGAAAGUUCAGACGUAAGUCAUUUUCAUCCCUGAAAUUUUAAAAAUUAAUCAAAUUAGUCCUUAAAUAAUUUUUUUAUUUUUUCUUGAUAAUAUUAAAUUUAAAAUAUUUUUUGAUACUACUAAUUUUAAUAGAAAUGUAAUUGAUAAUCAAAAAAUUAGUAAUUGUAUCUUUUCUUCUUAAAAAUGUUUUCAAUAAAAUUAUCUCUCUCCUUUAAUUCUUGUCAAAAUCUCUCUUAUUCUUUUCUAUUCUAAAACAUUUUUCUUACAUUAUUACAUUUUGCUGGAAUAUAUAUUUUUUGAUAAUAAUGUAAGAAAAAGGUUUUAGAAUAGAAAAGAAUAAGAGAGAUUUUGACAAGAAUUUAAGGAGAGAGAUAAUUUUAUUGAAAAAAUUUUUAAGAAAAAAAAAUACAAUUACUAAUUUUUUGAUUGUCAAUUACAUUUCUAUUAAAAUUAGUAGUAUAAAAAAUAUUUUAAAUUUAAUAUUAUCAAGAAAAAAUAAAAAAAAUUAUAUAAGGACUAAUUUCAUUAAUUGUUAAAAUUUUAGGGAUAAAAAUGACUUACGUCUAAACUUUCAAGGACUAUUUUGAUUAUAAAUAACUUUUUUACAUGUCAAGUGCCACGUGUCACUGAUCUGACACGUGACAUGCCAGGUGUCACUGAGCUGACACGUCAACCAAUCAUCUUGUGACAUGUGGCAUUAGCCCCCCACGUCAUCAUAUGCCACGUGGCAGUUAACGUAACACGUCAUCAUCCAACUGACGGAAGGACUAACGUGACCAAUCGUGUAUCUUUCGGGGACGAUUUCGAUUAACUUUAUCUUUCGAGAACCAAAAUGGAGAUUGGAAUAUUUUUCAUGAACGAUUUUAGCUAUUUACUCAAUAUAAUUAUGUUGACAAAAUCAACUAAAUAUCAAACUAAAUAAACAUAAAAUUAAUAUGAUACCUAUAUGAUAUAUUAAUAUAUAGUAUCCUAAAAGUAUUCUAAUCAUUUGUAUUAUGUUAAACAUUAUAUAUUUAUUUUAUUAGGAUAGAAUCACAUCUGUUAUCUCGUUCUUAUUGAAAAUAAAAUGAGAGCUAAAUAUAAAACUACAUACUCAAAUAAAAAUUGACCCAGAAAAUAUCGCUGAUGUACUUGUAAUUAUAACUCCCAUUAUUAACUAUAUUUUAUUUUGUAAUUUCUUCUAAACUCUCUUUAAAUUAUAAAAAAUAUAUAAAAUAUAUAUUAAUUAAAACCAACGGUUAAAAUAACUGAAACACCGGUGUUCUCCGGUACACUUGAAAUUUUUCCAAAAAUAUAUUAAUUACAUUACAUCUCCAGAAACAUAAAUUUAACAAAUUUGGUCCAACUUAAAGCUUUUUCCAUCCUUAGGCCCACUGUUAUUAAACUUUUUUUUAACAGCUUUAUUUUUAUCUUUCCAUCAUGCAAAAAUUAUCCCAAAACUGUUGACAUGGCCCAAAAUCCUCCGCGGCCGGUUUUUUUCUGAUCAGAUAAGUUUGCCUAUGUCCAAAUUUCAAAACCAAAACAUGAGGUCCAACCAGAUAUAAAAUAAAUAAAUAUUAUAAUUACUUUGGCUAACUAAAGUCAUUAGCAUUACUUAUAAUGCACAUCGUAUGAAACUGAGACCCAUGAUUCCAUGGACGGAACACAACUUACCCAUGAACGGAACACAACUUCGAACACGGGAUGACAAGUUGCAUCAGCAAGUGCUGAAUGAUCUUUCUUUCAGUACGUUAGAAUUUAUUUAUUAUUUAGUAUCCAGAACACUUUUAACACAUGCACCAACCAGUUAACACAUUUUUCAUUUUUCAAUCCGCUGCUGCUAUCCUGCCUCCGGCCUCGCUUCCUCCAUGCCCAUCAGCCUCGCUCCCUCGCUGCCAGUCAGCCUCGCGUCCAGCUUCGUUGACAUCUGUCUCCCUUUGCAUCCAGCCACUCACCGAGUCGUUGUCUCUCUCCGCACCCCUAUCACUCUGUCAGUGUGCCUUUGCAUCACCUCGGCUGUCCUUUGUCUAUCUCUCUGUCCAUCUCACUUCUCAGCCUUUGCCUCUCGUCAUCCAUAGUCGUCCAUCCUCACCGCUUUUAGCCUCACAGGUUCGUCCACCCUCCGUCUCUUUUGAUUUUGGCUUUUUUCUUUUAACAUAAUAAUUUUGUGCAUUUGAAGGUCUGAUAGAAUAUAGAAUUGAUUUUGUGUGUGUUUAGAGUUAGAUUAAUUAUAAUGUGUGCUGAAUUGCUGAUAGAGUGAUAGGGUUUGAUAGAUUAAUUAAGAGUAAAAUAUGGUUUUUGUCCCCAACGUUUGGGGUAAGACUCAAAGUUGUCCCUAACGUUUGAAUCGUCCUAUUUAAGUCCCUAACGUUUCAAAAUUGACUCAAUGUUGUCCUGCUAUUAGAAAUCUGUUAACAGAGGACAAAAUUGAGACAAUUUUAAAACGUUAGGGACUUAAAUAGGACAAACACAUUGGGGACAAAAACAGUACAUAUAAAUAAAUUUUAAUUUUAUCCUUCAAUAAUAUCAAUUUUUUACGGUACAUGGUCAUUCAAUUAUUUUUUAAUCACAUCUAAGUAAAUUAUAUUUAAUCAUAUUAAUUUUAUUCUAAAUAAAUUUAUUUUUUUAUAAUUUUACUUUUAAAAAUUUUUACUCAUCAUAAAAUAUUUGUAGAACGACUAGUACAUAAACUUGUGGGAAAAAAAUGAUACAUAUACAAUAAAGUAAUGUGAUUCUAGUCAUUUUACAAAUAUUUCAUGAUGAGUAAAAAUCUUUAAAAGUAAAAUUAUAAAAAAAAUAAUUUAUUUAGAAUCAAAGUAAUGUAAUUAAGUGUAAUUUACUUAAAUGUGAUUAAAAAAUAAUUGAAUAACUAUGUAUCGUAAAAGAUUGAUAUUAGUGAAGGAUAAAAUUAAAAUUUAUUUCUAUGUAUCGUUUUUGUCUCCAACGUUUUCGUCCUAUUUAAGUCCCUAACGUUUCAAAAUCGUCUCAAUUUUAUCCCGCCGUCAAUUCUGUUAACAGAUUCCUAACAGCAAGACAACAUUAAGUCAAUUUUGAAACGUUAAGGACUUAAAUAAAACGAUUUAAACGGACAACUUUAAAACUUACCCCAAACGUUGGGGACAAAAAGGAUAUUUUACUCAAUUAAUUAAUUAUCUUUGUUAAGAAGUAACUAUUAUCUUAAACUUCUUCUUGCUUACUGUUUUGCAUUAUCUAUUGCUUUGUUGUUCAUCCCUUCAUGUUUUUAGUGAUUUUCGCUAUGUUAAAUCUGCUUCCUUAUGAAAAAAUUGGAUUUGAUUGCGUAGAAAUCCACUCAAGACAAAAUUAGUAUUCACGAGGGCAAACUAUUGAAAAAGUCGUGCCAUAAGAUUUAUAGUGAUAAGAAUUUUAUCAAGUGAGAUAGACUUAAUUGCUAAAGAAGGCAAACGUUUUGCCAAUUGCUAUAUAGGGGACAAGCGGCAUUUAAUAAAACUUGAAAGAAAAUUUACCGAUUCUAACUAUGUUUAUUUCUGCUGCUGCGAUUUUACUUUAGAAGACUUCGAUUGCAAAGACGAUGAAUUAUUGGAAAAAGUAAUUGGAGACUUUUUAAUGGCAUUGCUCUCUCUCUUCCUAACUCAGAAAAGUUUUAUAGAGAGAUAACCAUGUAUAACCUUGUUAUCCAAAAUAAUAUUGGAUAUCUGCAUUAGGGAAUUAAAUGUCCAAAAUCAACACGAGAUGAAGAAUGAAAGAGAUUGCUUGAAAAAUGCAAUAAAACAGUAUUAUAUGAAGAACAAUAAGAGAGUACCUCGUAAACUUUAUCAUGUGUUCCAUUUAUGCAAAAAUACUAAUAUAAAAGUGUAAGUUUCUUAUUUUAUUUACUUUUGUUUCUUAUUUUAUAUGUUUUGUUUUCACAAAUAAUUUUUUUUGGGUUGUGAUUCAGGACUCAGUUUAAAGCAUCACUUAUAUCUACUAUGUGCAACGGGUAAAGAGAAAAGUCCCUUUAUCUAGUUACACACCGUAGAUACGGGUAAUAUUUAAGCUGAGUCUUAAAAUAAAUUAUUUGUGAAAACAAAACAUAUAAAAUAAGAAACAAAAGUAAAUAAAAUAAAAAACUUACGCUUUCAUAUUGAUAUUUUUGAAUAAACAAAACACAUGACCAAGUUUACGAGGUACUAGCUUGUUGUUCUUCAUAUAAUAUUGUUUUAUUGCAUUUUUCAAGCAGUCUCUGUCAUUCUUCAUCUCGUGUUGAUUUUGGACAUUCAAUCCCCCAUAUCCAACAUUAUCCUUGACAAUAAGGUUAUACAUGGUUAUCUCUCCAUGAAAUUUUCCUGAGUUAUGGAGAGAGAACAAUAUCAUUAAAAAGUCUUCAAUUACUUUUCUCAAUAAUUCAUCAUCUUUGCAAUCGAAGUCUUCUAAAGUAGAAUCACAGUGCUCGCAGCAGAAAUAAACAUAGUUAGAAUCCGUAAGUUUUCUUCCAAGCUUCCGCUUAUUCCCUAUAUAGCAAUUUGACAAAAUGUUUGCCCUUUUUAGCAAUUAAGUCUACCUCAUUUGAUAAAAUCCUUAUCACGGUAAAUCUUAUGGCACGAUGUUUUUCAAUAAUUUACACUUGUGGAUACUAAUUUUGUCUUCAGUGGAUUUCUACGCAAUCAAAUCCAAUUUAAUUUCUUGGACUGUCCGGAUCUCAGGCAUAGUUGACCACUGUUUAGUUUGGAUAAAAAUUUCAAAAGUUCAACUGAAACUAAAUUAUUAUAACAAAAUCAUAAGCAAGCACUAAAAACAGAUUUAACAUAGAGAAAAUCACUAAAAACACGAAGGAGUGAACAGCUCUGUUAAUUUAGUAAUUAAUCUAUUUAACAAAUUUAAAAUAACAAAGCAAUAGAUAAUGCAAAACAGUAAACAAGAAGACAAGAAUUAAACAAGCUAACAAACAGACAAAGUGCUGCAAAUCACCAAGGACAUCAGAAACAGCAUCAAGACUUUUUAACAAAGAUAAUUAAUUAAUCUAACUCCAAAACAGCAAUUCAGCACACAUUAUAAUUAAUCUAACUCCAAACACACAAAAUCAAUUCUAUAUUCUAUCAGACCUUCAAAUGCACAAAAUUAUUAUGUCAAAAGAAAAAAACCAAAGUCAAAAGAGACGAAAAGUGGACGAACCUGUGAAGCUAAAAGCGGUGAGGAUGGACGGCUAUGGAUGACGAGAGGCAGAGGCUGAGAAGCGAGAUGGACAGAGACACAAACAAAGGACAGCCGAGGUGAUGCAAAGGCACACUGACAGAAUGACAGCUGACAGGGGUGCGGAGAGAGACGACGACUCGGCGAGUGGCUGGAUGCGAAGGGAGACAGAUGUCAACGAAGCUGGACGCGAGGCUGACUGGCAGCGAGGGAGCGAGGCUGAAGGGCGGCGAGGAAGCGAGGCCGGAGGCAGGAUGGCAGCAGCAGUGGAUUGAGAAAUGGAAAAGGUGUUAACUGUUUGGUGCAUGUGUUAAAAGUGUGCUCUGCUUACGGAACUUGGUGGUGAGGCAUUGAAGCUUACUCCAUGCUUGUAUUCACUUGCAGUCAUGCUUAUUCUGCUGCCUACAAAAGGAAGAGGAAAAAACUCUAAACGAUCUCACAAUUACAUGAAAAAGACAAUUAGACCCCAUUAAAAAUAAAAUCUCUUUCCGGCCUUUUAUAAUUAAUUUCGUGGGACUGAUUAAUUCUUUUAUCAAUAAUUUCUCUCUGGGAUUAACAGAGCAUAUCUAUGUGGCACGUUAUCGUUAAGUGCCAACUUAGAAUGUCAGAUAUUAAGCUCACCCAACCCAACCCCUAUUAAUUACACUAAAACUACGUCGUUUAGCAGAUUGGGAGAGAGUAUAUAACCAACCAAGAUUGCAAGAACUGAACCGAUCAAUGAAUUGGUAAAGUGACCGGUUCAAUAGUUAAAAGAUUCAACCAGAGUUCAACUGGUUCAAUUAAAUAUUUAAUAAAAUUAUAAAAAAUUUAAUAUAUAAUUUGAAUAUUUAAAUUCAAUGAUUUCUAAACUGACAAUAAUUUAAAAUUUUAUAAUUUUACAUAAUAAAUUAUCCAUAAUUUAUCAUUAAAAGUUUACAAACAACUUCACACAUCAACAUUUCUAGCUAACAAAAAUCUAAAUACAUGCAAAUGACAAAAACAUAAUGUUCUACCACCAUUCCAGUUUCAUAAAAGUUAUAAAUACAAAAAAAAAAUUAACAAAAGAAUCAGAAAAAUCAGCAAAGAGAAUCAACAGUUCAGAAUUAAAAAAUUAGCAUAAAUGACUCAGAAUUAGAAAAAUUCCAGCAUAAACAACUCAGACUCAAAACCAUAGCAUAAACAACUAAUCAGAAAAAUUCUAGCACAGUGAAGCCCUGCACCAUAACACCAUCAACAACUCAAAAUCAGAAAAAUCAGCAACCAGAAUAGACAACUCAGAAUAAAAAAAAUCAGCAUAAACAAUUCAGAAUCAAAUAAAUCAGCAUAAACAACUCAGAAUCAGAAAAAUUCCAGCAUAAAUAAUGUAGUGAAGCACUGAACUAUAGCACCAUCAAAACUCAAAAUCAGCCACUAGCAACUCAAAAAUCAAAAUAAAUAAAAUUAACAAAAUAACCAAAAUAAAUUGAGGCACCCGUGCUUACCGGCAACGAGGGAGGAAGGAAGGUGACGGUGCGGCAAAUACUCCACAGCCGAGCAGAGAGAGACGUCACAGUGAGAGAGAGAGCGCUCGAAGAGAGACGUUGAGCUUGGAUUCUCGGACAGAGAGAGAGAGAACUCGAAGAAGGAGAGACGGGCAUAUAGAGCAGAGAUAACAACAGAGCAGCCCUCUGUGGUGGCAACGCCAACAGUUUCGAGCAGGCCUUCGUGCGACGGCGAGGAGAAGCGAGCAGAACUUCCAUGGGCAACGACGGCACCACGGUCUGUCCCCACAGGCGGCGAAGCACCCUCUACUAGAGGAAAAUAAUAAAUUAUAAAUAAAUUAAAAAUAGCAGCAGCAUUCAGCAACAAACAUUACAGAACAUUAACCAGUAAUCACACUAAAAAGGUGACACUAAAUUAUAAAAUAGCAAUUACAAAACACUGAAAACAGUGACACUAGUACAUUAUAAAACAUAUCAAAACAGUGAUGACACUUAAUUAACCAGAGCAUUAGCAAGGAAGAAGAAGAACAUUAGCAACACAACCACCACCAUUAACAUGGCGAUUCCUGUGGUAAAGGUGGAGGAGAUUGUGCGAUGUUGCCCGAGGGAUCUCAUUCAGCAACAUCUCAAGCUCCUCAAGGUCACCAACAUCUUUCACAUUCUCAGUCAUUUCUUUACCCAUCUCAACAUAUUCACACACCAAUGAACCACACAAAGAACUGAAAGAACAAACGCAGAGAAAAAAGAAAACAAAAGAGAACACAAAAGGAAAAACUCACACAAAGCAAUCAGAGGAGUCCAAGAAUCAGAGAACCCUUUUCAGAUAUCGAUUCAAAGAAGAUGUUAAAAGGAAGAAGAAAAGCACGGCCGCUCACCUUCGACGGAGACACGGAUGGCAACCGGCGAGACGACGGCGAGAGGCGAGACGAUGGCGAGAGGCGAGACGACGGCAAACUGCGAGCUGCUCCAAGCCACGAACCGAGAAACCAGUGGACGACGUGCCGAGCUACCUCGGUUCCAGACAGGGGGAAGAGGAGGAAGCGGAGGCACCGAGAACCUGGGGACGGCGGCAGCAAGGAACCUGCGGCUAGGGUUUUGCCGUUUUGAUUUGGUACUCUCACUUUGCUUCAAAGGGAUUUGCAGUUUUGCAUGAAUGAUUGGGGAAGGGGGGGUUCUUGAAACUCGAAAGCAUAGUUAUCAGAACCGAACCGGCAAUCAAUCCGGUCAUAUGACCGGGUCACCGGAUUACUGGUUCAACUAGUGGGUCACUGAUUCACCCGGUUGACCCAGUCAUAAU
rnacentral:lncRNA from 1 species